AAAUUGAAGAGUUUGAUCAUGGCUCAGAUUGAACGCUGGCGGCAGGCCUAACACAUGCAAGUCGAACGGUAACAGGAAGCAGCUUGCUGCUUUGCUGACGAGUGGCGGACGGGUGAGUAAUGUCUGGGAAACUGCCCGAUGGAGGGGGAUAACUACUGGAAACGGUAGCUAAUACCGCAUAACGUCGCAAGACCAAAGAGGGGGACCUUAGGGCCUCUUGCCAUCGGAUGUGCCCAGAUGGGAUUAGCUAGUA
rnacentral:rRNA from 2 species